ACAAUGGAGAGUUUGAUCCUGGCUCAGGAUGAACGCUAGCGGGAGGCUUAACACAUGCAAGCCGAGGGGUAAAUGGGAGCUUGCUUCC
rnacentral:rRNA from 1 species